UACGAAGGAGGCUAGCGUUGCUCGGAAUUACUGGGCGUAAAGGGCGUGUAGGCGGUGCGUCUAGUCGGAUGUGAAAGGCCCGGGCUUAACCCCUGAAAGGCAUUGGAUACUGGCGUGCUUGAGUCCGGGAGAGGGUAGUGGAAUUCCCAGUGUAGAGGUGAAAUGCGUAGAUAUUGGGAAGAACACCAGUGGCGAAGGCGGCUAUCUGGGCCUGUACUGACCCUAAGGCGCGAUAGCGUGGGGAGCAAAAAGG
rnacentral:rRNA from 1 species